rnacentral:rRNA from 1 species
GCUAGGAUGAACGCUAGCUACAGGCCUAACACAUGCAAGUCGAGGGGCAGCAUGGUCGAAGCUUGCUUGACUGAUGGCGACCGGCGAAUGGGUGAGUCACGCGUGUCCAACCUGCCCUGUGCCCGGGGAUAGCCCUUGGAAAUGAGGAUUAACACCCGAUACGUGGCGCUUCCGCAUGGCGGCGCCAUGAAACCGACACAGGAUGGGGACGCGUCGGAUUAGCUUGACGGCGGGGCGACGGCCCACCGUGGCGACGAUCCGCAGGGGUUCUGAGAGGAAGGUCCCCCACACUGGCACUGAGACACGGGCCAGACUCCUACGGGAGGCAGCAGUGAGGAAUAUUGGUCAAUGGCCGAGAGGCUGAACCAGCCAAGUAGCGUGCAAGGAUGACGGCCCUACGGGUUGUAAACUGCUUUUGCGGGAGGAUAAAGUGCACUACGUGUAGUGCUUUGCAGGUAUCCCGUGAAUAAGGACCGGCUAAUUCCGUGCCAGCAGCAGC